rnacentral:rRNA from 1 species
CAGUAGGGAAUCUUCCACAAUGGGCGGCAAGCCUGAUGGAGCAACACCGCGUGAGUGAAGAAGGGUUUCGGCUCGUAAAGCUCUGUUGUUAAAGAAGAACACGUAUGAGAGUAACUGUUCAUACGUUGACGGUAUUUAACCAGAAAGUCACGGCUAACUACGUGCCAA